GCUCAAUCCUCUGCCAUUUAGGAUUUAAAUCCCUUUGUUUCUAUGUUUCUAUGUAACCCUAGUCACACCUCCCUGCAUGUCACUUGCACAGCCUUCCAUAAACACUUCCUGUAAAGAGAGCCCUAUUUAGGCUUUCCUUAUUGCAAGUUCUGUUUAAUUAAGAUUUUCUUAUCCCCUGCUAUGUUUAUAGCUUGCUAGACCCUGCAAGAGCCUCCUGUAUGUGAUUAAAGUUCAAUUUAGAGAUUGAGAUACAAUUAUUUAAGGUAAAUUACAUCUGUUUGAAAGUGAAACCAGUUUUUUUUUCAUGCAGGCUCUGUCAAUCAUAGCCAGGGGAGG